GACGAACGCUGGCGGCGUGCUUAACACAUGCAAGUCGAACGGAAAAGCCCGGCUCUUGCGGUGGGUGCGUGUGGGGAGCGGGGGUGAAACAUACGAGUAUCCCGUGCUGUAGACUGUGAUAUCUUCAUGGAACUGUGGGUACUACAGGAGAUGAGCCCUGUCACCACGGGGUGGUGUGGAGAGUGGGGUUUGCUGGUGUUGGAUGGGCUCGCGGCUUAUCAGCUUGUUGGUGGGGUACUGGCUUACCAAGGCGCCGACGGGUAGCCGGCCUGAGAGGGUGACCGGCCACACUGGGACUGAGAUACGGCCCAGACUCCUACGGGAGGCAGCAGUGGGGAAUAUUGCACAAUGGGCGGAAGCCUGAUGCAGCGACGCCGCGUGCGGGAUGACGGCCUUCGGGUUGUAAACCGCUUUCAGCUGUGAAGAAGCGUGAGUGACGGUACUGGCAGAAGAAGCACCGGCUAACUACGUG
rnacentral:rRNA from 1 species